rnacentral:lncRNA from 1 species
CCCAGGCUUCAAAUGAGGGACAGAGGCACAGAAUUAGCCAUUAACUUGCCAGAAUCAAGUGACAAUGCCAGUUUGGAUCCAGACCUCCCCACCAGGAGUGGCAGCAAACCAAAACACAGAGGUCAUCCUGGAAGUCCAGUCGCUUGGGAAGUUCCUGCAACAUUGUGUUGGGUGGGACCUUUCGCCUACCGGGACUUCUGAUGGCUCAUUUUUAAUCAAUGACAUUAAUGACAGCUUUCUUGUUCAGCAAUGGCUGACAAAUCACAGUUGUGGUUUUGGGUUCAUUUUUGGUCAAUUUCAUGUGUUUUCAUUCUCUUUUUUUUUUUAAGAUUUUAUUUAUUUAUUUGACAGACAGUGAUCACAAUUAGGCAGAGAGGCAGGCAGAGAGAGAGGAAGGGAAGCAGGCUCUCUGCUGAGUAGAGAGGCGAUUACGGGGCUCGAUCCCAGGAUCCUGGAACCAUGACCUGAGCUGAAGGCAGAGGCUUUAACCCACUGAGCCACCAAGGCACUCCCCACCCAUGUGUUUUCAUUCUCUUCUUAAGAACUCCUUGCAUUUCCUACUAUUUUUAUAUAUUGGUUUGAUUAGGAAUGACUCCUGGUUCCCAUCUUUUCUAGUGCCUUCUGUAGUACUCAGCAUUCUCCAGAUAAAC